UACGUAGGGUGCGAGCGUUGUCCGGAAUUAUUGGGCGUAAAGAGCUUGUAGGCGGUUUGUCGCGUCUGCUGUGAAAAUCCGGGGCUCAACCCCGGACUUGCAGUGGGUACGGGCAGACUAGAGUGUGGUAGGGGAGACUGGAAUUCCUGGUGUAGCGGUGAAAUGCGCAGAUAUCAGGAGGAACGCCGAUGGCGAAGGCAGGUCUCUGGGCCACUACUGACGCUGAGAAGCGAAAGCAUGGGGAGCGAACAGG
rnacentral:rRNA from 1 species